CAUAGCCUACUAUUUAACUUAGGUACAACCCUGCCCUCUGACUUUUAACAGCCGCGGUAUCCUAACCGUGCUAAGGUAGCAUAAUCACUUGCCUAUUAAUUAUAGGCUAGAAUGAACGGGAUCACUCACUUAAACUUAUUUUUAUUUAAAUUUAAAUUAAACUUUAAGUCAAAAUACUAAAUUAAAAAGAAAGACAAAAAGACCCUGAAAACUAUUAGAAAUAAUUAGUUGGGGCAACUAUAGACCACUCUAGCGUCUAUUUUUUUUUAAACUCUUAAAAUCUAAAGUAUCCAGUUACUUCAGGGAUAACAGACUAAUUUUAUUAUUUAGACCCAAUAAAUAAUAAAGAUUGGCACCUCGAUGUUGGCUUAUAUUUCCUUCAUAUAGCAACAUAUAUAGAAGGCAGCUUGUUCAUCUGUUAAAUAUUUACAUGAGCUGAGUU
rnacentral:rRNA from 1 species